CCUACGGGCGGCUGCAGUGGGGAAUAUUGGACAAUGGGCGAAAGCCUGAUCCAGCCAUGCCGCGUGUGUGAAGAAGGCCUUCGGGUUGUAAAGCACUUUCAGUGGGGAAGAAAGCCUUGGGGCUAAUACCCUCGAGGAAGGACAUCACCCACAGAAGAAGCACCGGCUAACUCCGUGCCAGCAGCCGCGGUAAUACGGAGGGUGCGAGCGUUAAUCGGAAUUACUGGGCGUAAAGCGCGCGUAGGCGGUCUGAUAAGCCGGUUGUGAAAGCCCCGGGCUCAACCUGGGAACGGCAUCCGGAACUGUCAGGCUAGAGUGCAGGAGAGGAAGGUAGAAUUCCCGGUGUAGCGGUGAAAUGCGUAGAGAUCGGGAGGAAUACCAGUGGCGAAGGCGGCCUUCUGGACUGACACUGACGCUGAGGUGCGAAAGCGUGGGUAGCAAACAGGAUUACAUACCCCAGUAGUC
rnacentral:rRNA from 1 species